rnacentral:rRNA from 1 species
AGAGUUUGAUCCUGGCUCAGAGCGAACGCUGGCGGCAGGCUUAACACAUGCAAGUCGAGCGGGCACUUCGGUGUCAGCGGCAGACGGGUGAGUAACACGUGGGAACGUACCCUUUGGUUCGGAACAACUCUGGGAAACUGGAGCUAAUACCGGAUACGCCCUUUUGGGGAAAGGCUUGCUGCCGAAGGAUCGGCCCGCGUCUGAUUAGCUAGUUGGUGGGGUAAUGGCCUACCAAGGCGACGAUCAGUAGCUGGUCUGAGAGGAUGAUCAGCCACACUGGGACUGAGACACGGCCCAGACUCCUACGGGAGGCAGCAGUGGGGAAUAUUGGACAAUGGGCGCAAGCCUGAUCCAGCCAUGCCGCGUGAGUGAUGAAGGCCUUAGGGUUGUAAAGCUCUUUUGUCCGGGACGAUAAUGACGGUACCGGAAGAAUAAGCCCCGGCUAACUUCGUGCCAGCAGCCGCGGUAAUACGAAGGGGGCUAGCGUUGCUCGGAAUCACUGGGCGUAAAGGGCGCGUAGGCGGCCAUUCAAGUCGGGGGUGAAAGCCUGUGGCUCAACCACAGAAUUGCCUUCGAUACUGUUUGGCUUGAGACCGGAAGAGGUAAGUGGAACUGCGAGUGUAGAGGUGAAAUUCGUAGAUAUUCGCAAGAACACCAGUGGCGAAGGCGGCUUACUGGUCCGGUUCUGACGCUGAGGCGCGAAAGCGUGGGGAGCAAACAGGAUUAGAUACCCUAGUAGUCC